GAGAAUGCCCUCACAGACACAUUAGAAGUGAAACAGAUGUAAGGAAGGUAAUAUUUCUGUUUUUGAAUACUCUCCAAGAAAAUCAAACAAGCUCAAGUUUUAAAUAAAGAUUAGCCUUAAACUUGAUUAUCUCACUAAAGCUUUCACUCAAGAAUUAGCAUGUACUCUCAGUUUUCAACUUCUGAUUCAAAGAUUCAGUCUUAAGCUCUCCAUUUUUACUACAAAAUUUU
rnacentral:lncRNA from 1 species